UGAGGAAUAUUGGUCAAUGGACGAGAGUCUGAACCAGCCAAGUAGCGUGAAGGAUGACUGCCCUAUGGGUUGUAAACUUCUUUUAUAAGGGAAUAAAGUGAGGGACGUGUCCCUUUUUGUAUGUACCUUAUGAAUAAGGAUCGGCUAACUCCGUGCCAGCAGCCGCGGUAAUACGGAGGAUCCGAGCGUUAUCCGGAUUUAUUGGGUUUAAAGGGAGCGUAGGUUGACGUAUAAGUCAGCUGUGAAAGUUUACGGCUCAACCGUGAAAUUGCAGUUGAUACUGUAUGUCUUGAGUGUACAAGAGGUGGGCGGAAUUCGUGGUGUAGCGGUGAAAUGCUUAGAUAUCACGAAGAACUCCAAUUGCGAAGGCAGCUCACUGGGGUACAACUGACACUGAGGCUCGAAAGUGUGGGUAUCAAACAGG
rnacentral:rRNA from 1 species